GGAAGUAAAAGCCGUAACAAGGUUUCCGUAGGUGAACCUGCGGAAGGAUCAUUAUUGUAUAACCGAGGUGCGAGGGCUGUCGCUGACUCGAAAGGUCGUGCACGCCCGAGUGCCCUCACACACAUCCAUCUCACCCCUAUGUGCACCACCGCGUGGGUCCCCCUUUGGCUUGUUCGGAGGGGGGCUUACGUUUUCACACAAACUUUGUAUGCAGUGUAGAAUGUAUUUUUUGUUUUUGCGAUCACGCAAUCAAUACAACUUUCAACAACGGAUCUCUUGGCUCUC
rnacentral:misc_RNA from 1 species